AGUGAACGCUGGCGGCAGGCCUAACACAUGCAAGUCGAACGGCAGCACGGCAGUAGCAAUACUGUGGGUGGUGAGUGGCGGACGGGUGAGGAAUACAUCGGGAUCUACCCUGUUGUGGGGGAUAACGUAGGGAAACUUACGCUAAUACCGCAUAAGAACUGAGGUUGAAAGCGGCGGACCGCAAGGCGUCGCGCGAUUGGAUGAACCGAUGUCCGAUUAGCUAGUUGGCGGGGUAAAGGCCCACCAAGGCGACGAUCGGUAGCUGGUCUGAGAGGACGACCAGCCACACUGGAACUGAGACACGGUCCAGACUCCUACGGGAGGCAGCAGUGGGGAAUAUUGGACAAUGGGCGAAAGCCUGAUCCAGCCACGCCGCGUGGGUGAUGAAGGCC
rnacentral:rRNA from 1 species